rnacentral:lncRNA from 1 species
GUCUGAGACAUGUGAUCGCUAAAAACGCAUCUCAUUUUACCAGUAUACAAAUUUUACUUCUCAUCUUAAUUUUGUAGGUGAUCUUGAAGACUAGAACAAUUAAGCAGGACUGUCCAAGUAAUGGCUGCCAGCUUAAGUGAAAGCCAUGAAGCAUUAAGACUGCAUGAGGGUUAUUUUGAGAUCAUCUGAUUUCCUACUAGGAGGUGCUAUGAGAGAUCAUCGCCUUGAAAACCUUCAAAGAGAAUGGUCUGAAAGGGGUUUUUUUGGUGGUGGCAUGUUCCAGAACUUGGAUCAGUUUUACAUUUUCAUUUAGCAUGAGAGAGUUUUUAAACUUGUGUGUCUGUAUAAAAAUAAACUUCCAUCACAGGACUUCA